UGCCUAGGAAUCUGCCUGUUAGUGGGGGAUAACUCGGGGAAACUCGAGCUAAUACCGCAUACGUCCUACGGGAGAAAGUGGGGGAUCUUCGGACCUCACGCUAACAGAUGAGCCUAGGUCGGAUUAGCUAGUAGGUGAGGUAAAGGCUCACCUAGGCGACGAUCCGUAACUGGUCUGAGAGGAUGAUCAGUCACACUGGAACUGAGACACGGUCCAGACUCCUACGGGAGGCAGCAGUGGGGAAUAUUGGACAAUGGGCGAAAGCCUGAUCCAGCCAUGCCGCGUGUGUGAAGAAGGUCU
rnacentral:rRNA from 1 species